GCCCUCCUCUUUUUGAAUCUUAGUCUCCUGGUGCAGUGACUUCACACUGCAACAGGGGAGGACACUUCUCAACUUGGGGUCCUGUGACUGCGUGCCUUCAACUUCAAGUCUCUCUGAGCUGCUGAUGGUGGAAGAAGCAGCCUCCAAAUAUGCCAGCCUGCAGUAUCUGCGCUGGGUGAGCUGUGGCCUCGAUCCUUGCAGAGCCUUUUGUGGUGUGCAGCUGCUAUGAGCUCUGCUGUAACUUGGAAAGCUUUGCAGCCCAGGGCUGGGGAACUGGGCUGAUGCUGUCCUUGGCUCCAAAGCCUUCCUGGAUGGUGUCAGCUGUCAAACAACUCCUGGGUAGUGAGAGCCUUCCAUGUCAACCAUCCUUUCCUGUUCCCUGGAGCCUAUAGGCCAGCUGCACUUCCCUCAGCCAUACGCGCAGUGUCCCUGCGGAGUGGAUACGCACUCAGUUAUCCCCUUUCCUUGUGCAGAGACCUUCCAGCAUUCCCAUGUUGCUUGGUAUCAGGUGGGCAAAGGGCUGUACCAAGGCUGAUUGGAUCUUGAUAGGCUAACAAGGGCAGAACACCAGUGAGAGAGCUGCAGCCAUUCCCACCUGAGCUCCUGAUAGGAGUCCUUCCUCAACCCAGCCAUCAGCUUGUCUUGGAGACCUCCAACCUGCUGUUUGAUAGGACUGAAACAAGCUAAUGCCUUCCCAUCUUAUUCACACCCUUGUCCAAAGCUCUGAUGUGCCAAACCAGGGCCAGGCCCCUCCUGGGACACUGCCUUCCCUUCUGAGCAUCUGUGCAGGUUUGGCAGCUACAAAUCCUCAUGGAGGUGCCUCCCACUGCAAGGCAGUCCCUGGGAAGCAGCCACCUUCCUGCUGGGCUUUGUGAGAAGCUGUGUUUGCACGUCCUGCUGACAGAAGGAAAUCAUGCUCUGGGUGCUGAGUGAUGUGAUUUUAAAAACCCUUUGUAAUGGCUUGGAGCCCUUGGCUGUGUUUUGCUGGGACACUUUGUGGGAAACUGAACAAGGUGGCCAUCCUUAGCCAUGUACCCGGACUGCCUUUCCCAGGUGUCCAACCUGGGAUAGCAUGAAUAGUUUGCUGGAGUUCCAGCAAACUAAGGGAGCUGAGAUGAGCUCCAAGAGCCGCUGGGCAGCUGUGAGAUCUUUGGGCAGACAAAUGUAGUUGAUGGAGAGAUCCUGGAAGGUGAUGUGGGACUUUUCCGAAGGCUUAAGUAGAGCGCUUUGGGAUCUGAUCUGUGUGCACUGUGAACACGACUGAAGGACCUCCUCCUCCAACGUGUACUUAAAAUAAGGAACGAGGUGAAGGAGAGCAGAGCACCUUCACGUGAGAACAUCUGCACAGCACGGCUCAGCUUGAACUCCACAGGGAUGGUCUGGGUCCCGCUGAGCUCAGCACCAUGCAAACCUGUCUGUGCUGUGGCUGCUCCCAAAGGGCUGCGGGCAGCAAUGUGGCCGUGCUCAUUAUGAUCAAAGUUCUGCUAAGUGGUGCAGCCUGGCUCAGUCGUCUCUGUGUCUGCACUGUCCACAGUUUGGGGAUGCAGUGCUCAUCUCUGGCUCAAGAGGUGUUGGCGAGAUGCCGAGCUGCACGGUGAUGAGGUGGGAAGCUGCAGGAAGAAGGGGCUUCUUUCUCUUGGGUGCAACACUGAGAAUCAGAUUGCAUCUAUUUGUAUGUGGGACCAAGAGGGACAAAGCAUCCGAACGCGUCGGGGAACAGACGUUGUGCAGAUUGGAGUCUGUAGCUGAGCCAAUAAGCUGACACAACUGUCUCGAAAUAACACACCCACUCAAAUUGAACAGUGAUUUCAUUUGCAAAACGUUGUGGUAUUUUUGGUGGUAAAGGUAGGAGAUUGAUUUUUUUGAGGCCGAAAUUGCUGGGCUGGGUUCUGCGAGCACCCCAAUUCCUUUUGGAAUCAAACACCUUCCAGCAAGGUGGCAGGACAGCGUGUGCUGUAAGCUACACUUAGAGGGUUCUGUCCUUAGGGGAACAGAAAGGAGACUACAGCUUCACUGGAAGGAUUUUCUCAGUUCCCUUUGUGCUGUUUGCUCUAUCUUGCUGCCAAAAAAAAUAACCGUGUUUGGGAACGCAGACAGGUUCCCAGGCUAAGAGACAAUGAAUCCUGGGGGUGUAGGGAAGGCAGUGAUGUCUCUUUGGCAGAAUGUCUCUUCUAAUCCUGCAUUGCUGGUGUGUAAACAAUUGGUUCUUGUCCUCCAGUGUGUUUGAUUGUUACCUAAGGUGUUCAGUUUUCCUCCUGUAGAAUGUUGGGUCUUAAGGGUGGCUGCAGAUGGGAGGAGAAGACAGGCUAGAUGUGGACAGUCCUUCUGCUCUGGCUAUAUUUUCCAACCCCAUGUUUUCCAAAUAGCUCUGGAGUUAGUCUAUGCUAGGAGUCUUAUUGCAGCAGGAAAAAAACGGAGAGAAAACAUAAGCUAGCAGGAGUGGAAAUUUCCUCUCUCCCUCUCUUUUUGACUUCCAAAAUUUACUAUGGGGGUGAAUUUUUAAAGGUUUGGCCAGAUGGAGAUUUGUGCAACAUAGCUUUCUGAAAAGCUGACCCAAAACUGUGUCUUCCAGCACUACAUAAUUGGCUUUGGUAUUGCCUUCUCUAGCAAAAUGUGGUGACAUAUGUGUGCGUUAUUAAAGGGAAAAGAUUAAUACAAAAUGUCCAUGCAUGCGAUUCUCUCCCAGAGAAAGGGUGGGGAAAGAAGCAUGUGACACAUUAGUCACAACAGUAUGCUAUAGGGCAAAUGGUGAUGAAUACUGCUCUAGAAAUGCUAGGUCAGCAUGAUUUACACUAUUUACUUCUUUUUUUAAAUAUAUAUCUAUUUGUGUCUCUAGACAUUAAGAACAGUAGCAUCUCUCAUAUGCAGAGAGAAAGAGCAGGGCAGAGAAAGAAGUCAUGGGUGAGCACUGGAAGUGUGCUCAGAGCACCUCUCUCAGUGCAGCUGACUGCUCUGGAAUUCAGCAGCCUCUUGAAUCCAACAAUCCAUUGUUGACCUCUUCACUCUUUUUACUUUAAACAAAAGGAGCACUGUUCUGAUUGAACUGUGGCACUUCAUCUGCAGCUGGACUACCAAACUGAUAAGCCAGGCAAUCAGAGAGAAGGUAAUAAAAUCCAGAGAUCUACAAGUUCAGCAUUUAGAUUUUCAUUUUUGUCCAGAGGAAAAACAGACAGCAGAUUGGGACCUCGGAGCUGAAGUAUGCAUUAUGUUUUGUGGAAAAGAAGAUCAACUCUCACGUUUUUAAGGUGCCUAAGGAAGGAAAGCUACCGAAGCAGAGCAGCAGACAGCCUGCUAUCUCCUCUAGCUCAUCUCUGCAAGGAAUUACCAGAACAAAAAGUUGUAUUUCUACGUGAAGGGAUUCAUACAUCAUCUUUUCCAAAAAUCAUUCUCCAGUUUUAUGAGCUGGUUUGUAAGCCAUACACAGAGAGAGUACAAUUUGUGUUCAAGGCCAACAAUUACCUAAGAAAGUUGUAAUCAAUAAGUUCCACAUUUGUUAUCAGUUGCAUGCUCAAAUGAGUGCUGCAGCAUGCUACAUAGACACUCUUUUUCUUCUCUAAGAUGUAAAGGAGAAAUAUUAGGCUACUUUCCUUCUGCAGUGUCCAAAGCAAAUAACCAUUUUUUUCAGGAUUUGACCACAUUAAAGUGUUGCCAGUGGCUACUUUAAGGCUUGCUCCUUGCAAGUAUAUACCAAAAAAAGUAAAAAAACCAACAGAAAACAUCUGCAGUCUUAUUAAGGAUAAGUCUUCAUAGCAGGGUUAAUUUGGGCUCUGUACACUCAGUUUGUCACCUCUGCAGUUAUUAUACUUUGAAUGUGAGUGACCACACCAUGAAAAAACACGGGAGCAGCAGAGACUGAUUGUGUUGGCAGUGGGCAGAUUGUGCUAACCUGAACUGCAGCUCUUCUGCAGCUCAAAGGAAGAGCAGCACAGCUCAAGGGCAGAUCCUCAAAGGUUUAAAGUACAGGAAUUUAAAGGGGAUGGGGACAUUCAAGCUUUAAUUCAAGUUAACUUUUGAGUGGAAGCUCGCGUUAGGGCAUGAGUGUGUCAGCCUGCUGCCCAAACCAGUGAAUAAAGACAAAAGCAAAUUGGAACUGAGAAAUGAAAAUGUGCAGUAGUGUAAUUUUCUCUUCUCUGAUGCUUACACUGAAUGAUAUUUCCCUUCGGAUGAAUACAAGCUUGCAUAAAAUUCAAAUAACUCAGCUGUCUACAGAUGGGGGUGGGAAGUGGAACGGAAGGAAAUGGAACUGAGAAGACUGAAUUAACCUUUCAAUGUCUUGAAUUUCAAGAAGGAAAGAAUUCUCUCCUGUUAAGUCUGCAACCAUGCAAUUAAAAUGUGAA